GACGAACGCUGGCGGCGUGCUUAACACAUGCAAGUCGAACGGUGAAGCGCCUUCCUUUUUGGUGGGUGUGGAUGAGUGGCGAACGGGUGAGUAACACGUGAGUAACCUGCCCCCUUCUUCUGGAUAACCGCAUGAAAGUGUGGCUAAUACGGGAUAUUCUGGGUCUGUCGCAUGAUGGGUCUGGGAAAGAUAUUGUUUCGGUGGGGGAUGGGCUCGCGGCCUAUCAGCUUGUUGGUGGGGUGAUGGCCUACCAAGGCGGUGACGGGUAGCCGGCCUGAGAGGGUGGACGGUCACACAGGGACUGAGACACGGCCCAGACUCCUACGGGAGGCAGCAGUGGGGAAUAUUGCACAGUGGGCGAAAGCCUGAUGCAGCGACGCCGCGGGAGGGAUGGAGGCCUGCGGGUUGUGAACCUCUUUCGCCAGUGAAGCAGGCCUGCCUCGUUUGUGGGUGGGUUGACGGUAGCUGGAUAAGAAGCGCCGGCUAACUACGUG
rnacentral:rRNA from 1 species